rnacentral:rRNA from 1 species
UACGUAGGGUGCAAGCGUUGUCCGGAAUUAUUGGGCGUAAAGAGCUCGUAGGCGGUCUGUCGCGUCUGCUGUGAAAACUCGGGGCUUAACUCCGGGCCUGCAGUGGGUACGGGCAGACUAGAGUGCGGUAGGGGAGACUGGAAUUCCUGGUGUAGCGGUGAAAUGCGCAGAUAUCAGGAGGAACACCGGUGGCGAAGGCGGGUCUCUGGGCAGUAACUGACGCUGAGGAGCGAAAGCGUGGGGAGCGAACAGG